GAUCAUGGCUCAGGAUGAACGCUAGCGGCAGGCUUAAUACAUGCAAGUCGUGGGGCAGCAGGUUUGUAGCAAUACAGAUGCUGGCGACCGGCAAACGGGUGCGGAACACGUACAGAACCUUCCUUUGAGCGGGGAAUAGCCCAGAGAAAUUUGGAUUAAUACCCCAUAGUAUAAUGAAGUGGCAUCACUUUAUUAUUAAAGAUUUAUCACUCGAAGAUGGCUGUGCGGCUGAUUAGGUAGUUGGCGGGGUAAAGGCCCACCAAGCCUGCGAUCAGUAACUGGUGUGAGAGCACGACCAGUCACACGGGCACUGAGACACGGGCCCGACUCCUACGGGAGGCAGCAGUAAGGAAUAUUGGUCAAUGGAGGCAACUCUGAACCAGCCAUGCCGCGUGGAGGAUGAAGGUCCUCUGGAUUGUAAACUUCUUUUAUAUGGGACGAAAAAAGGCCUUUCUAAGUCGUCUGACGGUACCAUAUGAAUAAGCACCGGCUAACUCCGUG
rnacentral:rRNA from 1 species